UCCCGCACUUCACCAGCAAUUAUUUUUUUAUUCAACCAUCUUUUUUGAAAAUUUUAAGUUUCAGUAUAAACUAAAUUAUAUAAUGCACCAUGGCCUGCCAAUUAAACACUCAUUCUUAUAUUUCUUCCAAUAAAAUAUUGUAAUUUAAAUGUUCAACCCCCCCCUAAAAUCAUGUUGUCCCCUGUGUUUUUUUGAAAACUAAAUCAUUCAAAUAAUAUCCAAAUUAAUUAAACAGGCGUCCGAUUCUCACAUAUAUGAUAUAUUAUAUAAUAAACUUGCCCCUAAUUUGUCUUUUUAUAUUAUAACUAUAGCAUGUAAUAAAAUUUUGCAAAUAAUAAGAGAAAAAAAAUUUGUCCCCAGGGGUGAUUUCCCUCCUGUAACCACUGUUUUUUUUUUACCUGUGCAAACGUUUACAAGACCAAGAGUUAUUUUCCCAUUAUGUAUUGUGAAGAGCAUCAUUUCCUGAAUGCAUUAGUACAAAGAAAUAGUUGGAAAGGCGGCCAGGUUUGAAAAUUCAAGCCCAUCCAAGGUAAGAAUUUAUAGAAAAAUACUUAUUGGUGUUCUAUCCUGUUACAGCCUUUUCUUACACUUUCUGAGA
rnacentral:lncRNA from 1 species